rnacentral:lncRNA from 1 species
UUCGUAUUUGCACUUGAGGCUUUGUUCAGUAUUUUGUCUCAGUUAUUUUCGUAUAUCAGUUGUAUAUCUUUUGUAUAUCUGUAUCCGUACUGGGCAAUUGGCUCAUGCUGUGUUUUUCUUCCGGCAGGUUUGCAGGGGUGAUUCAGGGCUAGUGUGAUGAGAGAGUUGUCUUUGACCAUCUAGGUGGUUUUGUUUUUUUUUUUUUGAUUAUUUUGAUUCUAGUUGGAGAGUUAUAUUUAGUACUUCAUUGAUGGAUAUCGUUAUUAAUAUUUUGAAGUUAUUAGUGCUCUGUUUAUUUAUUUUGAGGUUUGUUGUGCUUUGUACGUGACCUCCCUUU